rnacentral:rRNA from 1 species
AAUCUUCCACAAUGGGCGAAAGCCUGAUGGAGCAACGCCGCGUGAGUGAAGAAGGUUNNNGGAUCNUCAAACUCUGUUGUAAGNGACNAACAACUGCAGUAGUAUCUGGCUGUACCUUGACGGUACCUUAUUAGAAAGCCACGGCUAACUACGUGCCAGCAGCCACGGUAAUACGUAGGUGGCAAGCGUUGUCCGGAAUUAUUGGGCGUAAAGCGCGGGCAGGCGGUCCUUUAAGUCUGAUGUGAAAGCCCCCGGCUCAACCGUGGAGGGUCAUUGGAAACUGGGGGACUUGAGUGAAGAAGAGGAAAGUGGAAUUCCAAGUGUAGCGGUGAAAUGCGUAGAGAUUUGGAGGAACACCAGUGGCGAAGGCGACUUUCUGGUCUGUAACUGACGCUGAGGCGCGAAAGCGUGGGGAGCAAACA